UCCCUGGGGGUCCAGUGGCUAAGACUCCUUGCUCCAAAGCAGGAGGUCUUGGUUCGAUCCCUGGUCAGGGAA
rfam:Ovis aries breed Texel chromosome 6, whole genome shotgun sequence.